ACAGACGACCAUAGCUCUGUAGCAUCUCGCAGAGUUGGGCACUCUUGCGUGGAUAAGCGCAGAAGCGGUAGAGUAGUACCGUAAGUGGGUGACCAUGCGGGAAUGCCUGCUGUCGUUUAUU
rnacentral:rRNA from 1 species